rnacentral:rRNA from 1 species
UACGAAGGGGGCUAGCGUUGCUCGGAAUCACUGGGCGUAAAGGGCGCGUAGGCGGCUUUAUAAGUCGGGGGUGAAAGCCUGUGGCUCAACCACAGAAUUGCCUUCGAUACUGUAGAGCUUGAGACCGGAAGAGGUAAGUGGAACUGCGAGUGUAGAGGUGAAAUUCGUAGAUAUUCGCAAGAACACCGGUGGCGAAAGCGGCUCACUGGACCGUCUCUGACGCUGAGGUGCGAAAGCCAGGGUAGCGAACGGG